UACGUAGGGUGCGAGCGUUGUCCGGAAUUAUUGGGCGUAAAGAGCUCGUAGGCGGUGUGUCACGUCGUUCGUGAAAACCUGCAGCUUAACUGUGGGCGUGCGGUCGAUACGGGCAUCACUGGAGUUCGGCAGGGGAGACUGGAAUUCCUGGUGUAGCGGUGAAAUGCGCAGAUAUCGAGAGGAACACCUGCGGCGAAGGCGGGUUGCUGGGCUGACACUGACGCUGAAGCGCGAAAGCUAGGGGAGCGAACGGG
rnacentral:rRNA from 1 species